rnacentral:rRNA from 1 species
CCUACGGGAGGCAGCAGUGAGGAAUAUUGGUCAAUGGGCGGAAGCCUGAACCAGCCAAGUCGCGUGAGGGAUUAAGGCCCUGCGGGUCGUAAACCUCUUUUGCCGGGGAGCAGUGGUCCGGACGCGUCCGGACCGGGAGAGUACCCGGAGAAAAAGCAUCGGCUAACUCCGUGCCAGCAGCCGCGGUAAUACGGAGGAUGCGAGCGUUAUCCGGAUGUAUUGGGGUUAAAGGGUGCGUAGGCGGGCAUUUAAGCCGGCGGUCAAAUGGCGGGGCUCAACCCCGGCCUGCCGUCGGAACGGGUGGCAUUGAGGGGGCGAGAAGUAUGCGGAAGGCGGGGGGUAGCGGUGAAAGGAAUAGAUAUC